rnacentral:rRNA from 1 species
GACAGAGGGUGCAAACGUUGUUCGGAUUUACUGGGCGUAAAGCGCGUGUAGGCGGCUUUGCAAGUCGGAUGUGAAAUCCCACGGCUCAACCGUGGAAGUGCAUCCGAAACUGCAUCGCUGGAGUCUCGGAGAGGAAGGUGGAAUGCUUGGUGUAGAGGUGAAAUUCGUAGAUAUCAAGCAGAACACCUGCGGCGAAGGCGGCCUUCUGGACGAUGACUGACGCUGAGACGCGAAAGCGUGGGGAGCAAAACGG